rnacentral:lncRNA from 1 species
GUUCGUAGAGCAUAAUGAUAUAAUGACAUAGUCCAAGUUUUGGAUGGAUCUCCAUUUGAAAAUUGAUAUUGUGAAAGUGAAAUGUUGGGCUGCUAUCAGGCCCCGGGCUACACCAUUCGGGCGACAUCUUGAACUUCCCAACGUUCCUUUCAAAAAGGAAAAAAAAAACUACCAACGUCUCUACCAUGCUCAAAAUUGCGUGCAUCAUAAAGGGCGUACUUGCUUG